UACAGAGGUCUCAAGCGUUGUUCGGAUUCAUUGGAGCGUAAAGGGUGCGUAGGUGGUGCUGUAAGUCAGGUGUGAAAUCUCGGGGCUCAACCCCGAAACUGCACUUGAUACUGCGGUGCUUGAGGACUGGAGAGGAGAUCGGAAUUCAUGGUGUAGCAGUGAAAUGCGUAGAUAUCAUGAGGAAGACCAGUGGCGAAGGCGGAUCUCUGGACAGUUCCUGACACUGAGGCACGAAGGCCAGGGGAGCAAACGGG
rnacentral:rRNA from 1 species